GCUGCUCUUUCGGCAUUUUCUGAUAGGCACGCUACUCCACGGGGCAUAAAAGGGCCUCCUCAGGGCCCUUGCUGAGCGUUUCAGUCAAAGAACCCAGUCAGGGGGCACAAAGGAGAAACAAACCUCAAAGAAAAUCCUCCGGAAAAUUUGCCCCCUCCUCAUUCGUACACCUCUGGCUCUGGUGUGUAUUUGGCAGGUUCUGGAGCACUGACUGUCCUUCAUGAAUUUUUUCCUAAAGGCCCAACAAGGGAGUGUGAUUCACACCCGAGGAAAUGGACGGACACUAGCUCUUUUCAUUGCAUUGAGAACUCCUGGAGCCGGCUUUCCAGGACACUCCCUGGACAUAGUUGUGCAGCUCCUCCCAAACAUCUGGCCUUCCCAGAACUCGGAAGGCGGGCAUGCCAUCCUUUCAGCCUCGACUCUGCAUGAAGUGUGAUCAUUUGGGAAGAAAAAGGCUUAAUUGGCCUCCUUGGUGAGCACUGAGAAGAGGGCGUGCAAAUGUGCUAACACACUGCAGGGAAAAAUAAAAACACCCGAGGUUAAGUUGUUUACCUGGAGAAGGACCAUGGAAAGUGGGAGACAGAUGGAUCCUGUGGAAUUCUAAUUGCUUGUGACUGAGUCUCAGUGAAUAAAGCCAAGGUGCACCAGUUGUUUGGGGCUUUACAUUGGAAAUAUGAGCCCACUGGCUCCCCAGAUUUUAACUUGUUUCUGUGUCUCUUUAUUUUUCAUCUUUAUCACCCCUUGGUCAGGUUCAAGACCAGCUGGUAGGCUGGUUCCUACAUGAUUCCGUGUAUAUUAAGCCACAGUCUCAUGUGAUUUCCUAAGCAGAUUUUUUCCCCAUAGAUAAUCAUCCAAAUAGCUAUGUGCAGCCAUAUUUCUCUUUGAAAAUUAAUGAAAAAGUUAUCCUAAAAUAAAAAUCAUCUCUUCAUGGGCUGCACAAUCACAUUUCUUUACAGAUGAAGUUGCAAAGUAGACCUUGGAACAUGGUGAUUUUUAUCAGGAUAACACUGUCCUUUCAGUCAUAUCUGGACAAUAAAGCUUUCCUAAUCAACAACUGUAACUCAUUUCCCUAUCAUUGACAGUGACAUAUCUUUCUAGUAAGUCCCACAGUCCCAAAGCAGAAGAUUUUGUCCAUAUCCAUAGGGAGAAAAACAUUUUAGAGUGGGAUCCAGAACACAAUUGAAAGUUUCAUAAAAUGAUACUACAUUAGUUGUCUAAAAUCAGAGUAAUAGGCAAAUACCACUGUUGUGGAAUCCACAGAUAAAAGCAUGCUUAGUCUAUACUUUCUCCUUCUCUCUUUAUUCUACUGACCAGUCUCAACUGCCUUGAGCCAUGCCUUGCACAUGUAUUUUCCACCUAUGACCUCUGGCCACCUCUGAACCCCAGUCUGAUUCCACCUGUUGCAUGUACCUUCAUCAACCAUUUGUCUUUCCUAUAUUUUUCAGGACAAUUUUUACUUUUUUUGGUGAAAGGCUGGUUUUAUUUAGAAUAUAUGUUCCUUUGACCUAAGUCCUAUUGUUUGCCACUGCCCACUAAAUUCUGACCUUAGCUUCAUCCAGGGCCUUAUAGUGAUUGAGGAUGCCCCGUUUUUUCUAUAUUAAAUGCCUUCAUUCAUUCAACAGGCACUUAUAUGCCAGGCAUUGUUCUCCAGGCAACCAACUCCAGUUUACCCACACUCUGACCAUUCUAACCCACCUCUAUCUUCCAAAUAGGCCUGCCAUUCUUAUCGUGUGUAUGCAACUGUACUAAUUUAUGAAUGACUGAUAAAUAUCUCUGGAAAUCACCUACUAACAGAAAUGCAAACCUUUUUUCAUGACUACAUUUUUGUAGAUAAGGAAAAUAAUUUUUUGAGUCUGAGAGCUCUGGGUUCAAAUCCUUGUUUUUCCAAUUUUUUUGCUGUAUAAUAUUAAGCAUCAGUUCAUCAUUUGUAACAUCAUAAGGGUUUUAUAAAUAUUAAAUAGAACACAUGAAAUUGUAUAUAAGUGCUUCAUGUGCCUUGUUAACGUCUUCCAAGAACCCAACAGUAUUCUUACAUUUUAUAGACGAGAAAAUUGAGCCUCAAGGACAUUAAGGAACAUGGC
ensembl:lincRNA